ensembl:lncRNA
GGAGACUUUCAGCAGUUCGGGUGGUGAAGAGAACACUGGCAUCUACUGCCUUGGGAAGGCUGUAUGCAGGGCUGUCGGAGAAAAUGAUGAAAACCCUUGUGUGCAAGGAACGCAUGGUACAAAUUCCGCUGAGCAAAAGAAUAAGAGUUGCUGAACAGCAGCCAAGAGACUAACCCAGCAACAGCUGACAUGGAUACACAUCUUGUCUCCACAUUUGAAGGUGAAGAGAAACCCAAGUUGCCAGAGCUCAGAGGUAGGACAGCUGUAAAGCCUCCUGCUUCAGUUAAUGAAGUGUGUGGUGCUCCCAGCUUUGAGAAGAACAUCCAUCCAGAAUUUGAGCCCUGCAGUGCUCCAGGAUUUGAGGACUGCAUUCCACCACAUUUUGAUUAUCCCACACCCCUAGAGUUUGACUGUGCUCCUGCAGAGUUUGAUGACUGCAGUCUCCUAGGGUCUGACAACUUGAACAAUGAAGGCUAUGCUAUUACACCACGUCUGCAAGAUGCAAAGUCUCCUGCAAAUGCAGUGCAGGAGUUCAUUCCAUUCAGUAUGUUUCGUUCAGAAGGGGAUACACAGAGGACAAGUUUGGACAUUCAGACUAUUAGAUUUGCCAGAAAACGUGUUGGCAGGAUUGGGAUGAGAUUUGGAUUCUUUCCUUCUCUCUCAUCUGGCUUUGAGCUAACCUUGUAAUUCUGCUGUUGCUCAGAGAAACCUGAUUUUUUGCUUGCUUUGAAGAAUUGGCUGAAAGUCUGAAGAGAAAUCUCUCUGGAGAUUAGUUUGUUUUCCAGGGACGAUUCCUUUCUCUACCCUUUGUGUUUCUGAAGGUCUUCCAGGUGGACCCAUUUGGAAUCCCUUGGAAAACAGACAUAAUUAACCAUGAGAAGAGUUCGGUCACUGCAUCUUUACUUACGCUAAAAGGUGUCACCUUUGUACCUAUCUUGUGUGGUCCACACACUUGUGUGAAUGGAUGGGGAAGAGGGUGAACACCUUGACAGACUGAUGGACAUGAGCAGUUUGCCUAAGCCUUCAGAUAAUACAUACCAUCAAGAAAGCUGCAGUUUAGGCAUGAUUUUGAUGCUGGCCAUUGAGGUAGAGUCAGUUCAAACCAUAGAAGGGAAGUGUACUCUACCGAAGAUGAUGCAGCAGUUUUUGACGAGGAACUGCAAUCAGUAUAACUGCCUGUCUUUAAAACCCUUACCCCUCCAACUGUGCUCAGAAAGGAGAGGUUAGAUAUUUUUUGGAGGGGAUCACCUGCUAGCUCACAUUCAGGCUUAUCACAGCAAAUACUUGGUUUGAAGGCAAAACUCUUCAGUCCGCAGUGUGAGUUUAUGAGUAUUCAUGGUGUAAAAUUGAACUCCUAAUGGGUACUUGUUGGGAAAGAUGAAGAAGCUGCUUCAGCUGUUUACUAGUCAGAAUCCACUGAAUAGAGCCUUAGACUCACUGAGAAGCAUCAUGAUUUGGUGACAGUGAAUGACAUUUCUGGAGAUGCCCAGUCUGACAUCUUCUUUGGAAAAAUUGUGAUCUGAUGAUGACAAAGUGUCUGAAACCAGAGCAAGAAAGCUAAAAUGCUACUAAAGUUUUGAGUCAGAGGAUGGAUGGAUGAAGAUCUUAUUCCAAAUGGGCAGUGCGCUUGGAGCUUCCUCCUGCCUGCAGGGGGAAAGCUCAGUCACACUGGCAAAGUCCUGACUGCUUUUUCAGCAAGGCUUCAGUUUGCAGUGUGGCCAACAGGGGCUGUGCCAUCUGCGACAUGAGCUGGAUGGCUUUGUGCUGCAAAGAAACGUGCAGGUAUCUGCUGUUAAGCUACAGCAGUACAAGUACAGCAGAUGUGAGCAUGCAGCUCUGGUGAGGGAAGGAGCAACUGUGGCUGUGGACCUGAGAGCUGAAAUUUCCCAGCUUCCAUGUGUCACUACCAUUCCUUCUGAAACACUGGUUUUAUGUGCUCUUCUUAAAUGGUUUUCUAUGCAGAUGUAGUUCUACACAAGAUAACUAGAGCAAUGUCCUUGAAGAUACCCCAUUUUGUCUAGUUGAGGUACUUGCUAUAGCUUCCAGAUGUGUUGCUUAUCACUGAUAAAUGUCCUUUCUAACCACCAGGCUUCUAUAAUAACAGCAACAUCCUCUAAAUGGGGGCUGAAGUCCCAAACAGUAACCAAUCAUUGGAAACUAAGUGGAGACCAAGUGCCCUUAGAAAACCUGUGUCCUCACAUGGAUAGCAUGAGGAGGACACCUCCCCAUAUGACCACCGACCCCUGCACAAGCACAGAAGAUUCGGAUACGUUUGCGUAACCUUGUACUUGCAGUAAUCUCAUGAAUAUGUAAUAGAUAGAUGCCUUAUGUAGUGGAUAGGUGUGUACUGAGAACUGCUGGGUUAUAAAUAGUGGAGAGUGCGAUGACUCAGAUCCACUUGAUUUGUGGAGAUUACUCACCUUGAGUGCUGUGCAGAAAUAAAGCAAUGUUUCCUCUCUAAUCACUUGUCUUUUCAAUGUGUUUCAGGACAUUUUGAAAUCGACAUCACCACCACCGUUCCUUCUUACGUGCUUUUCUUAAGCAGUUUGUGGUUCUGCGGCUAACAAAUCAACUGAUGGAUGGGAAAUCGGGGAAUCUCAAACAGUAUGAUACUACCACUGGUGCACCAGUGUGGUAGUGAUCAGUGCCUGCUGUUCUUCAGCUCUUAGCAAUCCCCCAUCAGAAAGGUCUUUUGAGAGGAUGGGCGAGGUAGACAGUUGCCUGAUGUUCUCCAUCUCCAAGGCACCUAUACAAAAAACCUAUUGGUAUUCUUUGAGUCCUUGAAGUACCCUUUCCUGAGGUAAUCUACACCAAGGAUGUGCAGAGCCUCUGGACCAGUCGCAAUGGGGUGUUUUUGCUACUCAUUCUCAGUCAGGCUCAAUUCAGACUCCACUAAAAUUAGCUCCUGGGAUCCCCCUGUCACUCCGGAGGUACAGACAGGUUCUGACCCUUCAUAACUUUAUGGCACUAGGCUCUUAUACUCCUGUGGUUCUGAUGUGCCAAGCCAUUGAAUCCGCACAGCCCAAUAAACCCGAUUGUCCCUUUCCUCCACCUGACUGGAGGCAGGGCCCUUCUAGUUCUGGUUAUUCUAUUCAUCAGUCAUGAAUGCAAACCACAAGGCUGGUUAUCAAACUCAGAAAUAAGGUCAGACCACCUACUCUGUUUGAAGAACUGCCCACUGGAGACUGGAGUGGUCAUUUUCCAGGAAGAACUCUCUUUUGUGAUGGCUUUCCCUCGCAACUCACAUAUCCAUACCUCUAGGCUUCAAGUGAGUUUUCCAUCCCAUUUCCUCAUAUCCUCUCCAUGGCCAUGCAGGUAAGACCACCGGUUAGCACGUGGUGUAUACCCAAUAUAUCUUCUGUCUUGAAUUAAAAAAUGCUUACUUCUGGUAUCUGAGAUGCUAGUCCAUGCAGAUAGGACAGAAGAUUUAUUCCCUUUGAGUUGUUGGGCCACUUCGGAAUGCUUCUCCACAGCUGAAACACAGGCCCUUAGAGAGAAGGAGAGAGAUAUUUUGCUGGAGUUCAUCAGCGAAUUUAUCCACCAUUUGUUCCUCUCCCUCUUUCCAGGUCAUUUCUGCAGUGAGUUGGCAUACAGAGAUGGUGAACUCCGUACAAACUUACGCCACAUGGAUUGUGGAAUAACACAUCUCAAUUUUGGAAUAAUCAGAAGUUCAGGCCAAUAUUAUGCACCAUCUCCAGCACAGCCAAUUCCCUCAGAUACUGGAUACCUCUUUCCAUGGUGGUCCACUUGCCUGGUUGACAUAAUAUUGUCCCUGUAGGGAUACACUUCCUUCACAGCUGACAGGAAUUGCAUCUAAAAGGGGAGAGAUUUUUUCAUUUUUUGUAAUUGCUUUGUCAAUGUCCCCAUCCCUAGAGAGGAACUGCAGCAACCUGGCUCCCAUGCUCACUGAAUCCAGACUAUCAACACCACAUCCCAGCAUUGAAGCGGCUGGGUGACAGCGUGCUCACCUGGAUGAUCGCUGAAAUCUUUCCACAUAUCUUGCACAGUUUCAGAAAUGGCCAGCCUGUUCUGAGGGAGGUUCCAGGGAACUACAGUCAAGGCAGCUUCACCUCAAACCCUGGGAAUGAUCUGCAGACAUGUGAAGGAAAAGAAAGUGAUGGUGAGUAGCCAGCAUGGAUUCACAAAGUGAAAACAGUGCUUAACCGACGUGGUAGCUUUCUGCAAUGGGAUAAAUGGCUUGGGGGAUUUGGGAGAGCAGUCAGUGUUGUUUAUCUCAACUUUUAACGUGUUUUCUACGUUGUCUCCCAUGCCAUCCUCAAAGAUAUAAACCUAUGAAGUGUGGCCUAGGUAAGUGGAUUGAACACUCUGAUGUGGACUGAACGCUGACUGAACUGCUGGGCUCAGAGGACUAGAGGUACACAAUCCAGUGGCUAGCCAGUCCCUAAUAGUAUAGCCCAGGGCUUGAUACUGACCCUAAUACUGCUUAACUUCUUCAUCACUGACACAGAUGCUGUGACAGAGUAUUUAUCACCUGCAAACUUGCAGAGAUAGCACAAGACUGGGAGGUGUGGCUGCCACACGAGGAGAGGGGCUUUGGCAGGCUGGAGAAAGUUUCACAAAGCGGCAUGAAAUUUAACAAAUGGAAUUGUGGAACCUGGGAAGGAAUAACCUCACAUGCCAGUAUGCAUAGGGGACCGAGUGACUGGAAGGAAGUUUUGCUGAGAAGAACCUGGUUGUCCUGGUGGACACCAAGUUUAAUGUGAGCCAGCAACAGGCUCUUGUCACAUCAAAGGUCAACAGUACCCUCUUCAAAAUGGUUUGUUGUUCCUUGUGCAAGAGGAAGUAAAACCGUAACUGUCAAAGCCUACUAAGUAUGUAAAUGGAGGGAAAGCCUUGAAAAGAGAAGUACUCUGAAUCUGUGACGAUGCAUGCAAAUAUCAUCUUAUUCAGUGAUUGUAUGACCAUUUUAAACCGUAACCUGGAGGCACAUGUUUAAAUCCAUAAGCAUUCCAAAGAAAAAAGAAAGAUAACAGUCCUUUAGAACACAUGUAGGCUUUCCCUCUUCUGCGUAGUUUGUAUAUUGCACGUAUUUGCCCACUUCUACGUGUAAUUAUUAUAAAAGUCUUCAAAAUCAAAACUUUUUUGACAAAUCAAGUAAAGUAACUAAAAUAAUGUGUCUUUGCAGCACAGGUGAAGGUGCCUCUGCUUUGAUUUCAGUAUUACUCUUACCUUUCCAUAUACAGCCUUUGUGAACUUUCCACAGCCAGCCUCAUUACUUAGAGUUGCAAACAUUCUCAGCACAGAUGUCAUGUACACUGUUGUCAUGAUUUGCAGUAGAUUUCCCAGAAACUGAAGAGGUUGCUCACACACUGCUAUAGCCACAAAGCUUCAGAAUACGAUUGUCACCCGAUCUUUUUACUCCUUACCUGAGUGGUUUUCCGUUUGGUGUCUCCAUACUACAGUGUUUGAAUGCACUCAGUGCCAGAAACAUGAACCUCUUCAGCCAAAGGAACCACAGAAACCCCACUGUUCACCCCUAUUGCCCCAAAUCUGGUUUCAUGAAAUGACUGCAUAUCUAAAGUCGCAGCCCACAUUUCUUGACCAUGCAAUUGGUUCACAGACGUAUGCUGCAGUUUUAAAGCAGUGUCUAUGCUUCUGCUUCUGCUUAUUCUCAGUAGCUGGGUCAGUCUGAGACUUCUGAAAUUGUGUCAAUCAUUCGGUUUUAGAGAAGGGGACUGUGGUUAAAUGGUAUCGAGUGGUGUAUUUCAAAGCAUGCCACGUGUGGAUUGGGUAGAGAUGUUCAGCAUCAGCAGAGGUUAGACGAGAGAGGGGAACAGGAUGGAGCAGCAGGAAGAUGUCAGUGGAAAGGGAGUAAAAGAUCCUUGUUGGAUACCUCCUGACCAUGUGGUUUGUGGUCUUCUGUCAGUUUUCUUUCCUCGUUAAACUGCAGCAUUUCCCUUUGCCUCCUUUAGACAAUUUGGAGAGUUGUGGUCUGGAAGAAAUUGCAUUCCUCUGAUGCCUUUACUUUAAAUAUUGCAUGGCUAUGCUCAGGAAGUCCUACAUGAAGAAAUAUUGUAGCAGAGGUGUCUUCCUGGAAAAAUAAGUCCCCUGGGAAAGACAUCCCUCAGAAGUCCAUUCUUUUUAUCUCCAGGUAAGCUAUGUUGCAUGUGUAUUCAAAGGCAGAAUGGAUGUAAAUGCUUGUAGAGCAACUUUGCCUGUAGUAAAGCAGUGUUUCCAAAUCAGAGAACAUAAACAGAAGGAGCAACAUGAGACGCAUGUAUAACUGUAGCUAUACAAAAAUAAAUGUAAGCCAAAUUUACAGAAGUCGUAGAAGUAUGUAUCUCAAGGCUGAAUGCAAUUAAGUGUAAGGAAGAUGAUUAAUUUUACCCUCAAAUCUUCUGAACUUUGAGCAAAUAUAUAUAUCUUCAUGUAGACGUGCAACAUUUAAAUCUUUAGUAAUGAAGUAUUUUAUGUCUUCUGAACCCUUAAAAUUAGUUCAGAAUUAAUCGGCUUAUGGUCAAGACUUUCCUCUUCGGUUUGUAAAGUGCUGUAAUUGCAGGCAUUACAGACCACUUGGCUUCAGUUGCAGACAGAAGCUGCAGCCUGUCUUUCAGCUCAGACUGACCGUCAGAACUCAGUUCUUCUAAUUUGUCUCACUUCCUCAUGCUGCAUUCACUGUUGUGCUGCUCAGCGCUGUUGUACAGGACAUGCAGAAACUCAGAAGCAAAUUCUGCCUGCAGACUCUGUGUCCAUCCUCUGUGCACUUCUGUGGUGGUAGUGUUACAUGGAGAUUGUGGUUCUCCUAAGGGUAGGAAAGUACUGCAAGAACGUCAGUCCAGUCCAGCAUUUUU